rnacentral:tRNA from 1 species
GCGGGAAUAGCUCAAUUGGUAGAGCAUCAGCCUUCCAAGCUGAGGGUCGCGAGUUCGAGCCUCGUUUCCCGCU